AUUGAACGCUGGCGGCAUGCCUUACACAUGCAAGUCGAACGGUAACGGGCCUUCGGGUGCCGACGAGUGGCGAACGGGUGAGUAAUGCAUCGGAACGUACCUUUCAGUGGGGGAUAACGUAGCGAAAGUUACGCUAAUACCGCAUAUUCUGUGAGCAGGAAAGCAGGGGAUCGCAAGACCUUGCGCUGAUUGAGCGGCCGAUGUCAGAUUAGCUAGUUGGUGAGGUAAAGGCUCACCAAGGCGACGAUCUGUAGCGGGUCUGAGAGGAUGAUCCGCCACACUGGAACUGAGACACGGUCCAGACUCCUACGGGAGGCAGCAGUGGAGAAUUUUGGACAAUGGGGGCAACCCUGAUCCAGCCAUGCCGCGUGAGUGAAGAAGGCCUUCGGGUUGUAAAGCUCUUUCGGUCGGGAAGAAAUCGCAUGGGUUAAUACCCUGUGCGGAUGACGGUACCGGCAUAAGAAGCACCGGCUAACUACGUGCCAGCAGCCGCAGUAAAAC
rnacentral:rRNA from 1 species